rnacentral:rRNA from 1 species
CGAAUGCUGACAUAAGUAACGAUAAAGCGGGUGAAAAGCCCGCUCGCCGGAAGACCAAGGGUUCCUGUCCAACGUUAAUCGGGGCAGGGUGAGUCGACCCCUAAGGCGAGGCCGAAAGGCGUAGUCGAUGGGAAACAGGUUAAUAUUCCUGUACUUGGUGUUACUGCGAAGGGGGGACGGAGAAGGCUAUGUUGGCCGGGCGACGGUUGUCCCGGUUUAAGCGUGUAGGCUGGUUUUCCAGGCAAAUCCGGAAAAUCAAGGCUGAGGCGUGAUGACGAGGCACUACGGUGCUGAAGCAACAAAUGCCCUGCUUCCAGGAAAAGCCUCUAAGCAUCAGGUAACAUCAAAUCGUACCCCAAACCGACACAGGUGGUCAGGUAGAGAAUACCAAGGCGCUUGAGAGAACUCGGGUGAAGGAACUAGGCAAAAUGGUGCCGUAACUUCGGGAGAAGGCACGCUGAUAUGUAGGUGAAGUCCCUUGCGGAUGGAGCUGAAAUCAGUCGAAGAUACCAGCUGGCUGCAACUGUUUAUUAAAAACACAGCACUGUGCAAACACGAAAGUGGACGUAUACGGUGUGACGCCUGCCCGGUGCCGGAAGGUUAAUUGAUGGGGUCAGCGCAAGCGAAGCUCUUGAUCGAAGCCCCGGUAAACGGCGGCCGUAACUAUAACGGUCCUAAGGUAGCGAAAUUCCUUGUCGGGUAAGUUCCGACCUGCACGAAUGGCGUAAUGAUGGCCAGGCUGUCUCCACCCGAGACUCAGUGAAAUUGAACUCGCUGUGAAGAUGCAGUGUACCCGCGGCAAGACGGAAAGACCCCGUGAACCUUUACUAUAGCUUGACACUGAACAUUGAGCCUUGAUGUGUAGGAUAGGUGGGAGGCUUAGAAGUGUGGACGCCAGUCUGCAUGGAGCCGACCUUGAAAUACCACCCUUUAAUGUUUGAUGUUCUAACGUUGACCCGUGAUCCGGGUUGCGGACAGUGUCUGGUGGGUAGUUUGACUGGGGCGGUCUCCUCCUAAAGAGUAACGGAGGAGCACGAAGGUUGGCUAAUCCUGGUCGGACAUCAGGAGGUUAGUGCAAUGGCAUAAGCCAGCUUGACUGCGAGCGUGACGGCGCGAGCAGGUGCGAAAGCAGGUCAUAGUGAUCCGGUGGUUCUGAAUGGAAGGGCCAUCGCUCAACGGAUAAAAGGUACUCCGGGGAUAACAGGCUGAUACCGCCCAAGAGUUCAUAUCGACGGCGGUGUUUGGCACCUCGAUGUCGGCUCAUCACAUCCUGGGGCUGAAGUAGGUCCCAAGGGUAUGGCUGUUCGCCAUUUAAAGUGGUACGCGAGCUGGGUUUAGAACGUCGUGAGACAGUUCGGUCCCUAUCUGCCGUGGGCGCUGGAGAACUGAGGGGGGCUGCUCCUAGUACGAGAGGACCGGAGUGGACGCAUCACUGGUGUUCGGGUUGUCAUGCCAAUGGCACUGCCCGGUAGCUAAAUGCGGAAGAGAUAAGUGCUGAAAGCAUCUAAGCACGAAACUUGCCCCGAGAUGAGUUCUCCCUGACCCUUUAAGGGUCCUGAAGGAAC